rnacentral:rRNA from 1 species
CGCUGGCGGCGUGCCUAAUACAUGCAAGUCGAACGGUCUUUCUAUGGAAGCUUGCUUCCACUGAGAAGAUAGUGGCGAACGGGUGAGUAACACGUGGGUAACCUGCCCAUAAGAGGGGGAUAACAUCCGGAAACGGGUGCUAAUGCCGCAUAGUUUUCUUGAUCGCAUGAUUGAGAAAGGAAAGACGGCCUUUGUGCUGUCGCUUAUGGAUGGACCCGCGGCGUAUUAGUUAGUUGGUGAGGUAACGGCUCACCAAGACGAUGAUACGUAGCCGACCUGAGAGGGUGAUCGGCCACAUUGGGACUGAGACACGGCCCAAACUCCUACGGGAGGCAGCAGUAGGGAAUCUUCCGCAAUGGACGAAAGUCUGACGGAGCAACGCCGCGUGAGUGAAGAAAAGGGUUUUCGGAUCGUAAAACUCUGUUGUCAGAGAAGAACAAGUUGGAGAGUAACUGCUCCAGCCUUGACGGUAUCUGACCAGAAAGCCACGGCUAACUACGUGCCAGCCGCCGC